GCCUUCAUGAAGCCGGAAUUGCUAGUAAUGGCAGGUCAGCAUACUGCCGUGAAUACGUUCCCGGGCCUUGUACACACCGCCCGUCACACCAUGAGAGUUGGAGAUACCCGAAGCCUGUGAGCUAACAAACGAGGCAGCAGUCGAAGGUAGAAUCAAUGAUUGGGGUGAAGUCGUAACAAGGUACC
rnacentral:rRNA from 1 species